ACGAUCGCGAAUGAUAAAAUACAGAAUUGGUUGUUUACUGUUUGUUUGCAAAUAUUUUGUGAAAUGUAGAAAAAAAUAACUGAACAAAAUCUUCAUGUCCUGAUUCAAUUGUUGAUAAAAAGUGCGUUCAACCAAGAGAUGUUUUUGUUACUGUAUUUUUGUGUACUGCGGUUAUUUCUGCAAUGCCACUAAGACAAUAAAUUGCAAAUUCCUUAUCCUUAUCUAAAACAAGUAUUGUCGUUAUUAAAAUGUUCGUUGGAUUGAAACUAAUACCGUAGGCAAUACUUAAAUCCAUGAAAGUAGUAAGUACUUCAGCACUUGCUUAGUGAUAAUUUAUUGCCAUUGAAGUGCUCAGUGGAAUAUUUAGUACCUACUUUUCUGGAUUGCACCUAAUAAAACUUAUUACCUUAGUCAUAGCAACAAAGGAGAUUAUUAAGAAUCAUUAAUUCAAUUUUAUAAAAAUCCUACCCAGUCCAUGAUUACGAUAACAGGUAUUGUUUUACACUUCGAAUUAUUACUGGAAGCAGUCAAGCAGUGUAACUGUCUUAAGUAAUUUAGUAUUUUAAUUAAUAAUGCUCCAUAAUAAAUUAGAAUGUCUUCAUUUA